AGGCAAUCUGUGGGGUUAGAAGCCAACAUACUGUGUACCAUUGAGAAUUCCGUCGCUGUGGUUGCCUUCCUUGAUGUCAGUUGCUACGAUCGCUACGGCUCUCUUUUAACUGGACAGAACAUCUGGUCAUCACAGGCCUGCCUCCUGUGGCUGCCUGUGGGUCGCCCCAGGUGUACAAAACCUUCCCAGCUGGAUGCCACUGUCACACACACACUCCUGUUUCUGAAGUGCCACUGGUCAUCCAUAUCCACGUUAAGAAGCAGAGAGACUCCUGAGGUCUGGGCAGUAAAAACAACCACA